AAAGGGAUAGUUCAGUAUUUUACAACUUAAAAUCUUAGCUGCUUCCUCCCCCUGCUGAAAGUAUAUGGGCCAGGAGUAACUGUUAUGCAUGGUGUGGCUUUCUUCAAACUUCACUAGAUAGCUGAACUUCCCCUUUAUCAUCUGACUCCAACUCAACCUCUAAAAGGUUAAUGUACAUCGGUAUGGGUUGGUUCUGCAAUGUGGUGAACAUUACACCUCUUAUUCCCUCUACCAUUUUCCCUCAUAACCAUGAUAUCAUGUCUGAUCUAGUGGAAGCUUCACAGGAGCACAGAGAAUCCCCACACCACACCCGUAUGGCUCCAACAUAUUACAUCCACAUUUACAGAUAGCAGAAGGGAACAGGUGAGAGGGAAAGCUGGAGAGAGAGGUAGGGGCAGGGGACAGAUAGCAGAAGGGAACAGGUGAGAGGGAAAGCUAGAGAGAGGUAGGGGCAGGGGACAGAUAGCAGAAGGGAACAGGUGAGAGGGAAAGCUGGAGAGAGAGGUAGGGGCAGGGGACAGAUAGCAGAAGGGAACAGGUGAGAGGGAAAGCUGGAGAGAGGGGUAGGGGCAGGGGACAGAUAGCAGAAGGGAACAGGUGAGAGGGAAAGCUGGAGAGAGAGGUAGGGGCAGGGGACAGAUAGCAGAAGGGAACAGGUGAGAGGGAAAGCUGGAGAGAGAGGUAGGGGCAGGGGACAGAUAGCAGAAGGGAACAGGUGAGAGGGAAAGCUGGAGAGAGGGGUAGGGGCAGGGGACAGAUAGCAGAAGGGAACAGGUGAGAGGGAAAGCUGGAGAGAGAGGUAGGGGCAGGGGACAGAUAGCAGAAGGGAACAGGUGAGAGGGAAAGCUGGAGAGAGAGGUAGGGGCAGGGGACAGAUAGGAGGAGGGAACAGGUGAGAGGGAAAGCUGGAGAGAGGGGUAGGGGCAGGGGACAGAUAGCAGAAGGGAACAGGUGAGAGGGAAAGCUGGAGAGAGAGGUAGGGGCAGGGGACAGAUAGGAGGGAACAGGUGAGAGGGAAAGCUGGAGAGAGGGGUAGGGGCAGGGGACAGAUAGGAGGAGGGAACAGGUGAGAGGGAAAGCUGGAGAGAGGGGUCGGGGCAGGGGACAGAUAGGAGGAGGAGUGAUAAAGCUUAGUAGGUAAAUGUAGCUUAGUGGUUUGUGUCUCUGUGAGCUCAGGCCGAGUCUGCAUCUCAAAUGCC